UGAGGAAUAUUGGGCAAUGCCCGCAAGGGUGACCCAGCAACGCCGCGUGGAGGAUGAAUGUCGUAAGAUUGUAAACUCCUGUUAGAGGGGAAGAAUAGUACCGGUUGGACCGGUAUAUGACUGUACCCUCAGAGAAAGCCCCGGCUAACUCCGUGCCAGCAGCCGCGGUAAUACGGAGGGUGCGAGCGUUAUCCGGAUUUACUGGGUUUAAAGGGUGCGUAGGUGGGCUUAUAAGUCAGUGGUGAAAUCUCCGAGCUUAACUUGGAAACUGCCGUUGAUACUAUAGGUCUUGAAUUAUCUGGAGGUAAGCUGAAUAUGUCAUGUGGCGGUGAAAUGCUUAGAUAUGACAUACAACACCAAUUGCGAAGGCAGCUUACUACAUAUAAAUUGACGCUGAGGCACGAAAGCGUGGGGAUCAAACA
rnacentral:rRNA from 1 species